GAAGAAAAACAUCCCAUCGUUACACGAUCGAUCCAAACAAAAGCGAGCGAAGCCCAACGCCGGAAAUCCCAUCCUCCUCAAUCUCGACGACUACCUAAACUCAACCCAUCGACUAACAAGUAACAACAACGAAAAAUCUAUUCUCUUCCUCGAUGCACUGAAGUUGAACGGGCAAUUGUACAGUCUGUGGCGUACCUUUUUUGACGUCCCAGGUACAGGGAAAUACCAAGAAGGGUCAAAUAGCCUAGUGUGAGCAAAUGGAGAGGUAAUCAACAAUCCAUUCUUGGAGUUUUUACCUCCAUUAGGCAAAACAGGGUCUUAAAGAAGAAUUACCGGCACCACGAUCAAUGGUAACUAGAGUUGGAUUCACCAAACUAUGGUUACCUGAAAAGCAAUCUUAUUAGCCAUUACAUAAAUACAAUAUACACAUGUAUAUUUAUAUGAGCCAUGCCAUCUA